rnacentral:lncRNA from 1 species
UGAGAGCAGAGUGUUGCUAAACUUACCAUGUGAUGGAUAUUUCUCCGUUUUGAUAUUGCACAGAAUGAAGAACAUAGCAGACAGAUGAAGUAGGCCUGGUGGUGCUCUGAGCAGAACAAAUCCUAAGGCCAGGUUAGACUAGCUUUGCACUGUUUCCCUCGUGUCUAGAUUUCUGAAGGAUGAGUCUUUUGAUUUGUUUCUAACCUGCUUAAAAGAGAUGGGGAGGCGGAGGAAGCAAGGAGCCGAGGUGCAGCCGGAUGCCUCCCAGGAUGAAUAAUGGCAACAAGAAACAGAGUUCUUAAAGCCCAGAUGAUAAGGGCCUCAGUCUGGGUGUGAAUGAACUUGGCCUGACUUCUUUGCUGCCGUCAUAUGAACCGGAAGGAGACAGCUUAGAUAGAGCAAGCCUGCUCCUUCCAGAAGCACGAGGGUCCUGUGGCGGUUUUUGCUUCAAACACCGCAGAACACAGAGCAAACCCCAUGACGCCGUCCUUCAACUAAACAGCCCAAAGCAGCAAACUAGAGGUUUCCAUUUUUAGUUUGCAAGGGGAACAACUGAGCUUUCAUGAGUUGGAAUUUGCUAACGUAAAUUGAGCCUUUGUAAGAGGGCUGAAAUUGACCCUGGAGACGGAAAGCACAGGAAAUAUUUGCUGUGGUCGGUGGGAGAGGACGCUCCGCAGACAAAGCCGCCUGCUUCUCCCGUCAGGCCUGCCUCCUCUCUAGGCAAAUAUUGGAGGGAUGACUUUUUUAUUUGCAGAGAGGAUUUGGCUAAUUUUGUUUUAUUUGUGUACCUUACAUUCAUGGAGCACUCUGCACAGUCUGUUGGAUAAUCUCUAAUUAUUCCUUUCCUCUUCACACCUGUGAGGCCGAUGCUCAGCAUAUUUCAGAGGAAGCUGGCACCAGGGAUGAGGGAAUCUGCCCAAGCAUGAGUCACCUGGAAUAUUAAACCAGAACCAACACACAAAUGAUCUGUGCAAAGAGGUGCAGCACCAUUGAAGUGUGUUUGACAGACAGAACUACUGUUUUGAAUCAACCCUCUGAGAUGUCUAAAUCAGCCUGUCAGACUUUGCUCCCUCUAUCACGUUUCCCAAGAAGAGGAUCAGAGAUAAAGAGAAAUAUGGAAAUUUGGAGUAAAAGGUGAGUCUAGAGAACAAGAAAAAAAAAAUGUGCCUUCAGAGACUACAACAAAGGAACCCAACAAAAUAUAGGACAAUCUGGUUACUAUGUUGAAGUCACAAAUGUGAAGAAAAUAAUAUACCAAAACGUUUCAGAAAAAUCC